GAGUUUGAUCCUGGCUCAGAACGAACGCUGGCGGCAUGCCUAACACAUGCAAGUCGAACGGGAUCCAGGCUUCGGCCUGGUGAGAGUGGCGGACGGGUGAGUAACGCGUGGGAACCUGCCCAAUGGUCUGGGAUAACCGCGGGAAACUGCGGCUAAUACCGGAUAAGCCCGAGAGGGGAAAGAUUUAUCGCCGAUGGAGGGGCCCGCGUCCGAUUAGGUAGUUGGUGAGGUAACGGCUCACCAAGCCGACGAUCGGUAGCUGGUCUGAGAGGAUGAUCAGCCACACUGGGACUGAGAUACGGCCCAGACUCCUACGGGAGGCAGCAGUGGGGAAUAUUGGACAAUGGGGGCAACCCUGAUCCAGCAAUGCCGCGUGAGUGAUGAAGGCCUUAGGGUUGUAAAGCUCUUUUGGCGGGACGAUGAUGACGGUACCCGCAGAAUAAGCCCCGGCUAACUUCGUGCCAGCCGCCGCCGU
rnacentral:rRNA from 1 species